UUAACAAAUGUUAUCUCUGCAUUGAAUAAAAUGAUCAUGUAGCUUUUAUUCUUUAUUCCAUUAAGAAAGCAAAUUAACUGAUUUAUUUCUACAUUAAACUCAACUUCUCAUGCUUAUAAUAAAUCCCCCUUGCCUACUGCACAUGAUCGUUUUUAUCUGUAGUUCACAGAAUUUACUAGUAUUUUGUUGAAUAUUUUUACAUCUGUAAUCCUGAGGGAUAUGGAUACAUAGUUUUUUCCUUGGGUCUGGGAAAUAUUUUGAUUACAUUAGUUUCUUUUCUUCUUACAAAGUCUACAGUAACUACAGGAACUGUCGGAGGGGCCUGAUGAGAGAGCACCUGUUCUCCAAAUUCUUUCUACCUAGUUUCCUGAGGUAUGUACGCCCAGAGACACACCAAAUAUAUGGGCAGGAUUACUAGCUGGCCCUUAUCAAAAAUUCUGGGGCUUUCCUACCAUUGUCCUGGACUCUGAAAUUUCACAGGAGUUUUCCUGCCUCUCACCCUUUCUCCCUGAACCCAGGUAGCAUCUUGGCACCCUAAGGGCAGGAGAGAGAGAAUUAAAGAGCUGCUUGGACUUUUACCACCUGUAAGCUUUCUUCAGGCAGAAAGGUGAAAUUGAAUUGCCAGCUCGCUUACUUGGGAGUGAUGUGAGUUGCUUCAGAGCCUCCCCAUCUACUCGUAACUCCACACUUUGAAGGAAACCACGCCUGCUCACGCAGAAGUCAAACCAAGCCCCAGGAAAACAAGCACUACACAACAAAUUAAAUAAUCAGCAAGGUCACGUUAAGACUAAGAGGUUGUACUCGAUAAUCUCCUUCGAUUUUACAUUAUCUCACAGCACUCACCUGUGCCUUAAACAUGGCUGCAGCACUAACUGCCACUGAGAAGGAACCCCAGCUCUGCUUUUAUAUGGUCGUGACCUUAGGCAAAUCACUUAACCUGAAUUUUAAUUACAGAAAUGAAAAUGUUAUACAUAAGCAUUUUAGAGGACCUUCUUCAUGCUACAUAUGCCUUCUCACACUUUUCCUCUUAAAAGAGUUUACUCAGCCUUCAAAGUCAGCUCAGAUGUGAUCCUUGCCAAGUAUCCAUAAGUACUCAGCCUCGUUCCAGGCCUCAGUAGCCAGGUAUACAAUGGCAAUGCUGUCAUCACAUGUGUUGGGCUAUUUGUGAGACUGUAACAUCCACCCGAGGCUCUUCGCAUUACUCACCUUUGAAUUCUUGGUGCCUGGUUCAACUGUCACCCAGAGAAGUGCUGUGUGAAUGUUGAGUGAAUGACAGCCCAGGUGACAGGUCAGGCUGCUGAGUGGAAUAUGGACUCUACUAGACAGGAGGGGAACUGUACUAUUUGUGGACUACAAAGCUCUAUGGCUUUAGCUAAGCUAAAGUCCACUACUGUGGACUGGGCCUUACAGAAUAAUCAUGGUUUCCCCCAGCUUCCAUCCGUUAAUGCUACCUGCUUCUCUUCCCACCUAGGAGACUCUCAGUUGGACACUCAAUCUAACUUCAAGAAUGGCAAGGAAAUGCCACUCUGAGCUUAAAGGUAGGCACAGAAUUUCACGCCAGCCAAACAAAAGACUACAGAACAGACUGCCUCUGCUGGGUUCUAAGCCUAGCCCCCGGCAGGCACAUGGUCUCGUGGGUCAAGCCCCUGCUUGGGAUGCCCAUGUCCUGUACUGGAGCACGUGGUUCAAGUCUUAGCUCUUCCACUUCUGAUCCACCUUCCUGCUAAUGCACACCCUGGGAGGCAGCAGGUGAUGGCUCAAGUGCUUGGGUCCCUGCCACUGGUAUGGGAGACCUGGAGGGAGUCCCUGGCUUUAGCCUGGUUAAACCUUGGCUGUUAUGUGCAUCUGAGGAGUUAACCUGCAAAUGGAAGAUCUCCCUUUCAAGCAGAUGAAAACAGAUAAACAUUCAAAGAAAUUGCAACAGACAAGCCCUGGCCCUGGCCCUCAGCAGUCAUGAGACUGUGGACAAACUGCUCAGCUCCUAAAAAGAGCAACGGCUACUGCCCUCCUUGUGGCAGUUAUCACUUCCCUGAUUUCUUUGCCGCUCUGCUAGCAUGCAAACUCUCACCUUGGGAAGCAGUGGCACAUAGAGCAAAGCUCCAGGAACAGCAGCGCCCCAUGUGCUACCAUGUUCCUUCUCCUCCUCUGCCCAUUCAACACAAAGUUGGAAAAGUAGCCCGGGGAAGGGCCACCUGGUCAACUUUGGUUAGAAGACAGCCAGCACAGGAUGAAAAGAUCUGCUAAACUGCUUUGCAAGCAGUUUUCUCCCAUUUUCCAAGAUUCCUCUACAACAUCCUCAGAUCUCGUCGUCAUCCAGAACUUGAAAGUGCUAUGAGUACUGACUGCCCUAAAAAUACAGAAUAAAGAAGUCUAA